UCGUACAAAAUUAUGACGAGGAAGCUGUAAGCUCGCAGCAAUAUUUUGAGUCGCUCGUUUGAAGCGUCACACAGGAAAUGACGAGAGAGAAAUGAAAAGUGUCCAAGUGCACGUGGACUCCGGAGCGCGCGACAGGUAGCGUCCGCGAAGCUUCCAGAAUGUUCCGUCCACCGCGUGUUGGAGGCUGCGGGGGGGCGUACUGUUUAGUCUUCCCGAGACGUGUGAUCGUGUGGCUCCAUUUUAUGCAAGAUCCGAUCGGUUCUGCCUUCUUUCCUCGCUCAAAUAAUCAUGGAAUUCCGACAAGUUCAGAGGAGUCCCUGCCUGCCGGCGCCGAAGCGAAGCACGAGGGUCACAGAGCAGCUCUGGUGAACAGCAGAGCUCCUAACGACGCGUAGACAAUGUCCAGGAUCUUAUGACGGAUGAAGAUGCAGAGGAUGGAGAA